rnacentral:rRNA from 1 species
CUGGCUCAGGACGAACGCUGGCGGCGUGCCUAAUACAUGCAAGUCGAGCGGACAGAAGGGAGCUUGCUCCCGGAUGUUAGCGGCGGACGGGUGAGUAACACGUGGGUAACCUGCCUGUAAGACUGGGAUAACUUCCGGGAAACCGGAGCUAAUACCGGAUAGUUCCUUGAACCGCAUGGUUCAAGGAUGAAAGACGGUUUCGGCUGUCACUUACAGAUGGACCCGCGGCGCAUUAGCUAGUUGGUGAGGUAACGGCUCACCAAGGCGACGAUGCGUAGCCGACCUGAGAGGGUGAUCGGCCAACUGGGACUGAGACACGGCCCAGACUCCUACGGGAGGCAGCAGUAGGGAAUCUUCCGCAAUGGACGAAAGUCUGACGGAGCAACGCCGCGUGAGUGAUGAAGGUUUUCGGAUCGUAAAGCUCUGUUGUUAGGGAAGAACAAGUGCAAGAGUAACUGCUUGCACCUUGACGGACCAACCA